rnacentral:rRNA from 1 species
UAUGUUUUGGGAGAGUUUUGAUCCUGGCUCAGAUUGAACGCUGGCGGCAGGCCUAACACAUGCAAGUCGAGCGGAUGAAGGGAGCUUGCUCCCUGGAUUCAGCGGCGGACGGGUGAGUAAUGCCUAGGGAAUCUGCCUGGUAGUGGGGGAUAACGUCCGGAAACGGGCGCUAAUACCGCAUACGUCCUGAGGGAGAAAGUGGGGGAUCUUCGGACCUCACGCUAUCAGAUGAGCCUAGGUCGGAUUAGCUAGUUGGUGGGGUAAAGGCCUACCAAGGCGACGAUCCGUAACUGGUCUGAGAGGAUGAUCAGUCACACUGGAACUGAGACACGGUCCAGACUCCUACGGGAGGCAGCAGUGGGGAAUAUUGGACAAUGGGCGAAAGCCUGAUCCAGCCAUGCCGCGUGUGUGAAGAAGGUCUUCGGAUUGUAAAGCACUUUAAGUUGGGAGGAAGGGCAGUAAGUUAAUACCUUGCUGUUUUGACGUUACCAACAGAAUAAGCACCGGCUAACUUCGUGCCAGCAGCCGCGGUAAUACGAAGGGUGCAAGCGUUAAUCGGAAUUACUGGGCGUAAAGCGCGCGUAGGUGGUUCAGCAAGUUGGAUGUGAAAUCCCCGGGCUCAACCUGGGAACUGCAUCCAAAACUACUGAGCUAGAGUACGGUAGAGGGUGGUGGAAUUUCCUGUGUAGCGGUGAAAUGCGUAGAUAUAGGAAGGAACACCAGUGGCGAAGGCGACCACCUGGACUGAUACUGAAAACUGAAGUGGGAAAUGGACUUA